GUAGGUGGCAAGCGUUGUCCGGAAUUAUUGGGGCGUAAAGCGCGCGCAGGCGGUUCUCUAAGUCUGAUGUGAAAGCCCACGGGCUCAACCGUGGAGGGUCAUUGGAAACUGGAGAACUUGAGUACAGAAGAGGAAAGCGGAAUUCCACGUGUAGCGGUGAAAUGCGUAGAGAUGUGGAGGAACACCAGUGGCGAAGGCGGCUUUCUGGUCUGUAACUGACGCUGAGGCGCGAAAGCGUGGGGAGCAAACAGGAUUAGAUACCCUGGUAGUCCACGCCGUAAACGAUGAGUGCUAAGUGUUAGGGGGUUUCCGCCCCUUAGUGCUGCAGCUAACGCAUUAAGCACUCCGCCUGGGGAGUACGGCCGCAAAGGCUG
rnacentral:rRNA from 1 species